AAAUUGAAGAGUUUGAUCAUGGCUCAGAUUGAACGCUGGCGGCAGGCCUAACACAUGCAAGUCGAACGGUAACAGGAAGCAGCUUGCUGCUUUGCUGACGAGUGGCGGACGGGUGAGUAAUGUCUGGGAAACUGCCUGAUGGAGGGGGAUAACUACUGGAAACGGUGGCUAAUACCGCAUAACGUCGCAAGACCAAAGAGGGGGACCUUCGGGCCUCUUGCCAUCAGAUGUGCCCAGAUGGGAUUAGCUUGUUGGUGAGGUAACGGCUCACCAAGGCGACGAUCCCUAGCUGGUCUGAGAGGAUGACCGCCACACUGGAACUGAGACACGGUCCAGACUCCUACGGGAGGCAGCAGUGGGGAAUAUUGCACAAUGGGCGCAAGCCUGAUGCAGCCAUGCCGCGUGUAUGAAGAAGGCCUUCGGGUUGUAAAGUACUUUCAGCGGGGAGGAAGGUGUUGUGGUUAAUAACCGCAGCAAUUGACGUUACCCGCAGAAGAAGCACCGGCUAACUCCGUGCCAGCAGCCGCGGUAAUACGGAGGGUGCAAGCGUUAAUCGGAAUUACUGGGCGUAAAGCGCACGCAGGCGGUCUGUCAAGUCGGAUGUGAAAUCCCCGGGCUCAACCUGGGAACUGCAUUCGAAACUGGCAGGCUUGAGUCUUGUAGAGGGGGGUAGAAUUCCAGGUGUAGCGGUGAAAUGCGUAGAGAUCUGGAGGAAUACCGGUGGCGAAGGCGGCCCCCUGGACAAAGACUGACGCUCAGGUGCGAAAGCGUGGGGAGCAAACAGGAUUAGAUACCCUGGUAGUCCACGCCGUAAACGAUGUCUACUUGGAGGUUGUGCCCUUGAGGUGUGGCUUCCGGAGCUAACGCGUUAAGUAGACCGCCUGGGGAGUACGGCCGCAAGGUUAAAACUCAAAUGAAUUGACGGGGGCCCGCACAAGCGGUGGAGCAUGUGGUUUAAUUCGAUGCAACGCGAAGAACCUUACCUGGUCUUGACAUCCACAGAACUUUCCAGAGAUGGAUUGGUGCCUUCGGGAACUGUGAGACAGGUGCUGCAUGGCUGUCGUCAGCUCGUGUUGUGAAAUGUUGGGUUAAGUCCCGCAACGAGCGCAACCCUUAUCCUUUGUUGCCAGCGGUCCGGCCGGGAACUCAAAGGAGACUGCCAGUGAUAAACUGGAGGAAGGUGGGGAUGACGUCAAGUCAUCAUGGCCCUUACGACCAGGGCUACACACGUGCUACAAUGGCGCAUACAAAGAGAAGCGACCUCGCGAGAGCAAGCGGACCUCAUAAAGUGCGUCGUAGUCCGGAUUGGAGUCUGCAACUCGACUCCAUGAAGUCGGAAUCGCUAGUAAUCGUGGAUCAGAAUGCCACGGUGAAUACGUUCCCGGGCCUUGUACACACCGCCCGUCACACCAUGGGAGUGGGUUGCAAAAGAAGUAGGUAGCUUAACCUUCGGGAGGGCGCUUACCACUUUGUGAUUCAUGACUGGGGUGAAGUCGUAACAAGGUAACCGUAGGGGAACCUGCGGUUGGAUCACCUCCUUA
rnacentral:rRNA from 1 species